CAUCUCCCAGAAUGCUUCUCUCCAUUCUCCACAUCUGCUUCCUCCUUUCCUUUUGACAAAGCCAUUUCUGAUGCACAGAGUAGAAGAGCUUUUCAGGCUGACCGGGCGCCCCGUUUAUUCAAGAAGAUGGUGUGACUCAUAAUUGGUGCCUGCCGUUAUGUGGCUAGGAAAAUAGCAUCGUUCCUGCGCCAUGAGGAUGUGGGAGAGACCACGUUGGCUUGCAAGAACCGGACAACUUUAGCUGGUAUCUCCAAAAAGCCAGCAGGGUCUGAAUCCACUCCUUGUUCAGGCAGCGAAAAAUAUCCUCAUGCAGCUAUUUCGGAAGUCAGAACCCAGGAACCAAACUCCUGAUGAAAUAAAAUAGGAAGGACGGCAGAGUGGAAAAUGACGGUUUGUUUGACAAAAUCCUGCAGGAAGUGAACAGACCUGAGCAUCCCUUAUUCUGCCCUCCUCUCGUUGUUCCGCAAUGAAAAUAAAUUUAAAUAAAAGAA